AUCGAGUGCCCUCGAGUGCAAAGGCAAAAGGGAUCUUGACUGCAAGACCCACCCAUCAAAUAGGGACGAAAGUCGGUCUUAGU
rnacentral:rRNA from 1 species